rnacentral:rRNA from 1 species
AUUGAACGCUGGCGGCAUGCUUUACACAUGCAAGUCGAACGGUAACAGGCCGCAAGGUGCUGACGAGUGGCGAACGGGUGAGUAAUGCAUCGGAACGUGCCCAGUCGUGGGGGAUAACGCAGCGAAAGCCGUGCUAAUACCGCAUACGAUCUAUGGAUGAAAGCGGGGGACCGUAAGGCCUCGCGCGAUUGGAGCGGCCGAUGUCAGAUUAGGUAGUUGGUGGGGUAAAGGCCCACCAAGCCAACGAUCUGUAGCUGGUCUGAGAGGACGACCAGCCACACUGGGACUGGGCCACGGCCCAGACUCCUACGGGAGGCAGCAGUGGGGAAUUUUGGACAAUGGGGGCAAGCCUGAUCCAGCAAUGCCGCGUGCAGGAAGAAGGCCUUCGGGUUGUAAACUGCUUUUGUACGGAACGAAACGGUCUGGGUUAAUACCCUGGGCUAAUGACGGUACCGUAAGAAUAAGCACCGGCUAACUACGUGCCAGCCGCCGCAGUAAGAC